UACGUAGGUGGCAAGCGUUGUCCGGAUUUACUGGGCGUAAAGAGCGCGCAGGCGGUCGUUCAAGUCGCGUGUGAAAGCCCCCGGCUCAACUGGGGAGGGUCACGCGAUACUGAUCGACUCGAAGGCAGGAGAGGGAAGUGGAAUUCCCGGUGUAGUGGUGAAAUGCGUAGAGAUGUGGAGGAACACCGAUGUCGAAGGCAGCCUCCUGGGCCAGCACUGACGCUCAUGCACGAAAGCGUGGGGAGCAAACAGG
rnacentral:rRNA from 1 species